UGUCCGGUCGAGCCGCUGCACUCCCCCGCUGCGCGCUCAGACUGGUUCGGCGCUCCGAGGUCUGCAGGCUGCCGAAGCUUUCUCUCAGCCUGAACACAGCCUCAUCUCCCCGCAGAGAAAAAAACCCGGACUGACGGCCGUCCUCCCCGCUCUCCAGGAACACCACAUAGGAGACCUUAAACAGCUUUUCCCCCGACGCAGCGCUCCCCCUCAUAAAGCCGCCUCGGUCUGCUUGUGUGAAUUAAGAGCUGCGGUAGAGAGAGAGAGAGAGAGACAGCCUCCCCUCUUCAUCUGCUACACACCAGGUGCACAAACACAACCAGCCAGCAAACACACAAACUGACCAGGCUGAAAACACAACCUCCACGAAUGAAAACGAUGACAAGGAUCUUUUUAGUGCUGCUGACUGCUGUGAUGAAUACUGAUCCGUGGUCAGCGGGGGAACAGUGAAGGAGCCAGAGGAAUCCUGGUUUGAUGUAGGUUCAACUGCCUUUCACCCAUUUAUCCGUCUCAUUUGCUCGACUUCAGUCUGUGGCCUGACUCUUGACUCUUCGUCCUGUCAUACGAGAGGUUCUCAGAGGCAUUACUGCGCCUGGUGAAAUUCAGGUUCGAGGCACGACUUUGAGCUUGUUGGCUUUGAGAUCAGUGUCAUUUUUAUAUCCCUCAGGAGCAGGAUCAGGCACAAAACACAUUAUAUCAGCUAGCGUGUUGGUGAAUAGAGUACAUAACAAACUGACAAUUCAGUCAGUAUUGGAUUAUAGAGUCUUGCUGAUUAUUUGAAUCAGCCACUGCAAACCCAAUGUGUGCCAGCCAGCUGUUGGUGUCUUGGUUGAUUAGAUGUAUGGAAAUAUAAACAUAGUGAAAAAAAUGUUGGCGCCACUUUGCUGAUGACACACACUGUAUUAGCGUUGUCAGCCAGAGCAGUUGCAACCCAAUAAGCCAAUCAUUAUUUUAAUAGAUUAUAGAAAGCAAUUUACAUGGUGGUGAGUAUUUUAUUAUACUACACAUAAGAGGAC
rnacentral:lncRNA from 1 species